rnacentral:ribozyme from 2 species
GAAACAAAAAUACGCAUAUAGUUCUUCAUAAUAAAGAACGCGUUCUCUUUUUGUAUCUUCUACUUCUUUUCCCUUAAUUUCCCCUUUUCUUUCUUUUUUUCUUUUCUUCCAUCAAAAUGCGUG